CGGGAGCCAACUGUCAGUAAUUCAGUAAUGAAAAUUUAACAAACUUUGGCAAACACAAAUAUGAAAUUAUCCGUUUUGUUUAUCUUGAUGCAAUUGCUGGCAAUGUCGAUGCUGAUGCUGAUGCCCACAUCAAAUGGAGACGCCUUCGUGGACACGUCUCGGGGGGACAUUUCCGUGGCCGAGGCAGAGGAAGGCUCCUGCCUGGUGGGUUGCCUUAAGGCGAGCAACAUCAGCAGUGUGGACCCUCCGACAGAGUGUCCACAGUAUGAGAGGACCCUCGACUGCACACUGAUCUGUUUGUUUAGGCAUUAGCAAAAGCGACAAACACAAAAUGCCCGCAAAAUGGCAACUGCCAGUGGAGCAAAUAUUUGGCAUUUAAACAUCCGGAUGCCAUGCCGGCUGAAUCCUCGUGUGCUGCUCCGAAAAGUUCAAACAAAACAGCCAAAAA